ACAUGAGGAGAGUAGUAGGCCUGAAAUCU
rnacentral:piRNA from 1 species